UAUAUGUUAGUGUAAAGGCAUAGGAAGUUUUGAUCUUUCAGGAAAUGGUGCAAUUCCAUUACGUGUAA
rnacentral:tRNA from 3 species